rnacentral:misc_RNA from 1 species
GGAAAUAGUUAUUUACAUGGUGCAUUCCAUAUAAAUGGCCGUAUAUUGUUCUGGAUGCUUGAUAAAUCAUCAUAGGCAGAAGAACUAGAUUAACUGUUUGUCUCCAUGUCGAAUACCCACUUCAAUAACUGGUGGUUCACCCAUAACGUACACUAGUGACAACAAGCUAACUGAUGCAAAUUUUCAGGGCAUUCCUCAGCUUGACUUCACCGUCUCGAUCGCUUGGAUUAAUUCAUCUAGUUUGGCACCUGUGACCUC